rnacentral:rRNA from 1 species
AAGUGGAGCAAUCCAUGAGUAAAGUGGCGACCGGGUGAGUAACACGUGACUACCUACCCUUGAGUGGGGGAUAACCUCGGGAAACCGAGGCUAAUACCGCAUAAUAUCGAGAGAUCAAAGGAGCAAUCCGCUUUUGGAGGGGGUCGCGGCUGAUUAGCUAGUUGGUAGGGUAAUGGCCUACCAAGGCGAAGAUCGGUAUCCGGCCUGAGAGGGCGCACGGACACACUGGAACUGAAACACGGUCCAGACUCCUACGGGAGGCAGCAGUGGGGAAUUUUGCGCAAUGGGGGAAACCCUGACGCAGCAACGCCGCGUGGAGGAUGAAGCCCCUUGGG